rnacentral:lncRNA from 1 species
AUCAGAGCGAUCUUCAUCAGGAACCAGAUCCACCAAUCCUGAGGAAUCACCUGAGACCCUCCAGAUCAGCAGCUGUCAUCUUUUCUCACCAAAGCUCCAAGCGUUCUGGGAUAAGAUUUUCUCCCGACAUCAAAGCUUUUGUAGCUGCUUGGAAUUUUCACCAAAAUGCUCCGCCCCUUCCUUUAUCUGUGCGGUAUUGCCGCCCUGUCAGGU